rnacentral:rRNA from 1 species
AUUGAACGCUGGCGGCAGGCCUAACACAUGCAAGUCGAGCGGAUGAGUGGAGCUUGCUCCAUGAUUCAGCGGCGGACGGGUGAGUAAUGCCUAGGAAUCUGCCUGGUAGUGGGGGACAACGUUUCGAAAGGAACGCUAAUACCGCAUACGUCCUACGGGAGAAAGCAGGGGACCUUCGGGCCUCGCGCUAUCAGAUGAGCCUAGGUCGGAUUAGCUAGUAGGUGAGGUAAUGGCUCACCUAGGCGACGAUCCGUAACUGGUCUGAGAGGAUGAUCAGUCACACUGGAACUGAGACACGGUCCAGACUCCUACGGGAGGCAGCAGUGGGGAAUAUUGGACAAUGGGCGAAAGCCUGAUCCAGCCAUGCCGCGUGUGUGAAGAAGGUCUUCGGAUUGUAAAGCACUUUAAGUUGGGAGGAAGAGCAGUAAGUUAAUACCUUGCUGUUUUGACGUUACCAACAGAAUAAGCACCGGCUAACUUCGUGCCAGCCGCCGCUGUAAAAC